GACGAACGCUGGCGGCGUGCUUAACACAUGCAAGUCGAACGGAAAGGCCUUUUCGGAGGUACUCGAGUGGCGCACGGGUGAGUAACACGUGGGUGAUCUGCCCUUCACUCUGGGAUAAGCCUGGGAAACUGGGUCUAAUACCGGAUAGGACCGCACUUUAGUGUGUGUGGUGGAAAGUUUUUUCGGUGUAGGAUGAGCCCGCGGCCUAUCAGCUUGUUGGUGGAGUAAUGGCCUACCAAGGCGGCGACGGGUAGCCGGACUGAGAGGUUGGUCGGCCACAUUGGGACUGAGAUAAGGCCCAGACGCCUACGGGAGGAAGAAGGGGGGAAGAUUGCAGAAGGGGCGCAAGCCUGAUGCAGCGGGGCCGCGGGGGGGAUGACGGCCUUAGGGUUGUAAACUACUUUCGCCAGGGACGAAGCGUUUUGUGACGGUACCUGGAGAAGAAGCACCGGCUAACUACGUG
rnacentral:rRNA from 1 species